rnacentral:rRNA from 1 species
CCACGCUGUAAACUAUGAUUACUCAGAGUAUGCGAUAUAAUGUAUGCUCUCAAGCGAAAGCAUUAAGUAAUCCACCUGGGGAGUACGUCGGCAACGAUGAAACUCAAAGGAAUUGACGGGGGCCCGCACAAGCGGAGGAACAUGUGGUUUAAUUCGAUGAUACGCGAGGAACCUUACCUGGGAUUGAAAUGUAUAGGCCGGCUUUUGGAAACAAGAGUCAUUCACUUCGGUGACUUAUAUGUAGGUGCUGCAUGGUUGU